CAGAGGACUCCUCUGGAGAUAACUCCCUGAACUUUAGAUGUUUUUUAUUAUAAAAACGUCUUUUUUCUCUUAGAA
rnacentral:sRNA from 1 species